GACGAACGCUGGCGGCGUGCCUAAUACAUGCAAGUUGAGCGCUGAAGGUUGGUACUUGUACCAACUGGAUGAGCAGCGAACGGGUGAGUAACGCGUGGGGAAUCUGCCUUUGAGCGGGGGACAACAUUUGGAAACGAAUGCUAAUACCGCAUAAAAACUUUAAACACAAGUUUUAAGUUUGAAAGAUGCAAUUGCAUCACUCAAAGAUGAUCCCGCGUUGUAUUAGCUAGUUGGUGAGGUAAAGACUCACCAAGGCGAUGAUACAUAGCCGACCUGAGAGGGUGAUCGGCCACAUUGGGACUGAGACACGGCCCAAACUCCUACGGGAGGCAGCAGUAGGGAAUCUUCGGCAAUGGACGAAAGUCUGACCGAGCAACGCCGCGUGAGUGAAGAAGGUUGUCGGAUCGUAAAACUCUGUUGGUAGAGAAGAACGUUGGUGAGAGUGGAAAGCUCAUCAAGUGACGGUAACUACCCAGAAAGGGACGGCUAACUACGUG
rnacentral:rRNA from 1 species